UGUCAGCUGCACAGAAAGUGAAAGCUCCACAGAUUCUCACAGAAAGCUGCACAGACUGAAAGCUGCAGGAGAACCUCACUGAUAGCAACACAGAAUGAAACAUGUACAGAGCCUGAGAUCUUCUAUUUAUCACAGCACUGCAACCAUGUGAGGGUGGAAGUGGUCCCCCAGCAGGCUUCAGUGAUGUCAUGCCUGCUUGGAAACACUUUCUCUUUCUCCUGCUGGGAAAUUGCACUAUGUGAGCCAGAAUAAAGCACAAUACUGCAACAUAACAAAAGAAGAAGAAAAAAGUGGACGGGUCUGAACACUUUCUGAAUGCAAUUGUGAUAUUAAAUCAAUAACAUUGUGCACCAUCGGAUACAAAUAGGCAAGAAUGUACAGUACAAUGACGAUAAAAAUUGAUUCAAAAUCAAGACAUGACACGUCUACUGUGCGAUUUUGGAUCUCUGCCCCAUCAGCAAUACAAGUGCCAUGAGCAUGCAAGUUUUUCUGAAACAAGCCUUCAUAUAAAGC